GCCACGCCCCCGCACGCUCCGCCACGCCUUCGCACUCCGGGCCCCGCCCCUCGGGUCUGACAGCGUCGCCGCAGGUGUGGGCGCCGCCGAGGGAUUCUGGGCGCCGCCGCGAGGCUUCUCCCUCUCCCGUGGCCCCCGGGAGGCGGCCAGGAGCGCGGAUGCCGGGCGAGUCCCCCCCACGUGCACGCAGCCGCCAGGUUGCCCGCCAGCCUCUCACCUGUCGGCCUCCAUGUGUUUGUUGUCCAGGCCCCGCAACUGGUUCUGUGAGGGUCUCCGUGUUGGUGACGUCACAGCCUGGGUGUGCCGCCUGAAGAUAAGCCCUGGAUCCGGAACCCAUCGUAGCAGUCCUGGGCCUGCUGGGCUUUACAUUCACAAGUGAAAGGAAGAUGGAGAACGCUCAUCCCACAGGUUUCAAAAUAAAAGUAAAGCGAAGGUGAAACUUAA